rnacentral:rRNA from 1 species
AGCAUAUCAAUAAGCGGAGGAAAAGAAACCAACAGGGAUUGCUCUAGUAACGGCGAGUGAAGCAGCAAUAGCUCAAAUUUGAAAUCUGGCGUCUUCGACGUCCGAGUUGUAAUUUGUAGAGGAUGCUUCUGAGUAACCACCGACCUAAGUUCCUUGGAACAGGACGUCAUAGAGGGUGAGAAUCCCGUAUGCGGUCGGAAAGGUGCUCUAUACGUAGCUCCUUCGACGAGUCGAGUUGUUUGGGAAUGCAGCUCUAAAUGGGAGGUAAAUUUCUUCUAAAGCUAAAUAUUGGCCAGAGACCGAUAGCGCACAAGUAGAGUGAUCGAAAGAUGAAAAGCACUUUGGAAAGAGAGUUAAAAAGCACGUGAAAUUGUUAAAAGGGAAGGGAUUGCAACCAGACUUGCUCGCGGUGUUCCGCCGGUCUUCUGACCGGUCUACUCGCCGCGUUGCAGGCCAGCAUCGUCUGGUGCCGCUGGAUAAGACUUGAGGAAUGUAGCUCCCUCGGGAGUGUUAUAGCCUCUUGUGAUGCAGCGAGCGCCGGGCGAGGUCCGCGCUUCGGCCAGGAUGCUGGCGUAAUGGUCGUAAUCCGCCCGUCU